UACGAAGGGGGCUAGCGUUGUUCGGAAUUACUGGGCGCAAAGCGCACGUAGGCGGAUUGGCAAGUCAGAGGUGAAAUCCCGGGGCUCAACCUCGGAACUGCCCUUGAUACUGCCAGUCUAGAGUCCGGAAGAGGUGGGUGGAAUUCCUAGUGUAGAGGUGAAAUUCGCAGAUAUUAGGAAGAACACCAGUGGCGAAGGCGGCCCACUGGUCCGGAACUGACGCUGAGGUGCGAAAGCGUGGGGAGCAAACAGG
rnacentral:rRNA from 1 species